UACUCUCGAUAAUAGAUAUCUCAGCUCUUGCAUCGAUGAAGAAGGUAGCAAAAUACGAAACUUGGUGUGAAUUGCAGUAUCCCAUGAACCACCGAGUCUUUGAAUGCAAGUUGCGCCAUGAGCCUUUUAGCCAAGCGCACAUCUGCUUGGGUGUCA